rnacentral:rRNA from 1 species
AGUCCCUCGCGGAUGGAGCUGAAAUCAGUCGAAGAUACCAGCUGGCUGCAACUGUUUAUUAAAAACACAGCACUGUGCAAACACGAAAGUGGACGUAUACGGUGUGACGCCUGCCCGGUGCCGGAAGGUUAAUUGAUAGGGUUAGCGGUAACGCGAAGCUCUUGAUCGAAGCCCCGGUAAACGGCGGCCGUAACUAUAACGGUCCUAAGGUAGCGAAAUUCCUUGUCGGGUAAGUUCCGACCUGCACGAAUGGCGUAAUGAUGGCCAGGCUGUCUCCACCCGAGACUCAGUGAAAUUGAACUCGCUGUGAAGAUGCAGUGUACCCGCGGCAAGACGGAAAGACCCCGUGAACCUUUACUAUAGCUUGACACUGAACAUUGAGCCUUGAUGUGUAGGAUAGGUGGGAGGCUUAGAAGUGUGGACGCCAGUCUGCAUGGAGCCGGCCUUGAAAUACCACCCUUUAAUGUUUGAUGUUCUAACGUUGGCCCCUGAUCGGGGUUGCGGACAGUGUCUGGUGGGUAGUUUGACUGGGGCGGUCUCCUCCUAAAGAGUAACGGAGGAGCACGAAGGUUGGCUAAUCCUGGUCGGACAUCAGGAGGUUAGUGCAAUGGCAUAAGCCAGCUUGACUGCGAGCGUGACGGCGCGAGCAGGUGCGAAAGCAGGUCAUAGUGAUCCGGUGGUUCUGAAUGGAAGGGCCAUCGCUCAACGGAUAAAAGGUACUCCGGGGAUAACAGGCUGAUACCGCCCAAGAGUUCAUAUCGACGGCGGUGUUUGGCACCUCGAUGUCGGCUCAUCACAUCCUGGGGCUGAAGUAGGUCCCAAGGGUAUGGCUGUUCGCCAUUUAAAGUGGUACGCGAGCUGGGUUUAGAACGUCGUGAGACAGUUCGGUCCCUAUCUGCCGUGGGCGCUGGAGAACUGAGGGGGGCUGCUCCUAGUACGAGAGGACCGGAGUGGACGCAUCACUGGUGUUCGGGUUGUCAUGCCAAUGGCACUGCCCGGUAGCUAAAUGCGGAAGAGAUAAGUGCUGAAAGCAUCUAAGCACGAAACUUGCCCCGAGAUGAGUUCUCCCUGACUCCUUGAGAGUCCUGAAGGAACGUUGAAGACGACGACGUUGAUAGGCCGGGUGUGUAAGCGCAGCGAUGCGUUGAGCUAACCGGUACUAAUGAACCGUGAGGCUUAACCUU